rnacentral:rRNA from 1 species
AGCGAACGCUGGCGGCAGGCCUAACACAUGCAAGUCGAACGAACUCUUCGGAGUUAGUGGCGGACGGGUGAGUAACACGUGGGAACGUGCCUUUAGGUUCGGAAUAACUCAGGGAAACUUGUGCUAAUACCGAAUGUGCCCUUCGGGGGAAAGAUUUAUCGCCUUUAGAGCGGCCCGCGUCUGAUUAGCUAGUUGGUGAGGUAAAGGCUCACCAAGGCGACGAUCAGUAGCUGGUCUGAGAGGAUGAUCAGCCACAUUGGGACUGAGACACGGCCCAAACUCCAGCCGGAGGAAGCAGGGCGGAAUGAUGCGCAACGUGCGUAGGAUUGUAAAAUUCUUGCAGCGGGAAUGAUAAAGGAGGUACGAUGGUAAAAAGCUUUGGCCAGGGUCGAUAAUGGCGGGGCGUGGAGAAGAGGAGCCGACCACCGGACU